UUGUACCUCUGAAUUUGCACUCCUUUCACACAUUGGAGACUUUUUACAUGCUUUGUUCAUGUAGUUGCUUUCCUUCUGGUGUGUGUUUCUUCUGCCAUUUCUUGUGCGAUUCCUUCUUCCUACGACUGUUUAACCUACCUUCCUUCAUUACUUCUCUUUUUACUGUUCACUUUCAGGCAUUUAGUGCUGCCUUGCAGAGUUUUCACAAAGCAUCUGUCCAUACACAAGGACAUGCCUUUCCUUGAUGGUAUAUUGCUUAUUCCUGUCUAUGGAGCGAAAGUUAGUGGAGACAAAUACAUGAUUGUCAUUGUGCCAGCUAAUCAUGCUUGAGCCGUGGUCUCAGCAGGUUUUAACUGCAGCUGGCUGCCACAACAUUGAGCGUAGCCUAGGUGGAUGUAAUUGCCAAGUCACUGCAGGCAUUGUGCCAAAGGGACUCUUCAAGGUUGUGCUGUGACACAGCGGUAGCCUGCAGCAAGACUAGCCCUGGCUAGUACUUGACGAUAGCUCAAGACCCAGUUUAUGUCUCCAAUAAACCCAAGUCGAGGUGGUGCUCCUCUAGAAGCAAGCAGGAGUCAGGUAGGAAUGUUUAAAACAAGGCUUAGUCCAACACCAACUGUGUCAGGUUUGCAGUGAAGCCAACACAAAACCAUGGUCAGAAAGCAGGGUUACCUGGGUACUGUACAGCUGGAGACCUGCACGCAAAAACCUCCUAUGUGGAAGGCAUGGCACACCUGUAUGGUUUAUCAAGGAGCUGGUAGCAGCUGAGCCCUAUGAGAAGUUCUCUGAAGGCUUUCACACUCCUGGGAGGAGGAGCAGCUCGUAAAGCUGUGUUUAUUACUUCAGCUCCAGCCAAUUUUUAAGGGUAGAUUUUGGAGGAGGAAGAUGAAGCCGCUCUUUGUUGAAUUUUUACAUGUUAAAACACAUACUUAUGUCACAGAGGUUAAAGAAAACAAAAAGAGCAUCACCUCAAAGAGGUGAGAGUUAGAUCCCUGAACUGCCAUGCCAAGUUAGGUGUCUGGCACACCUAAGCAUUAGUACUCAGUGAGUUAGCUACAAUCGUUUUGUGAUUAAUACCCAAGUUAAGAGGAGCUUCUUUCUUCUGCCUCUCACUUUCCUAAGACAGUGUUGCAUGAAGUGUUAAGAAAAUAGCUCUUCUAAUUUGUGUGCCUCCUGAUCUAUUUGACUAGGCUUGGGGGAGUAGCCCAAGUCCCCAUUACCACAAAUCUGUUAACAAUUCUUUUGAGUUCAACAAUGCUCAUUCUGUUUCCUUUUCUUAAGCUGGAUAUUAGCAACAAAGACCUGCUAAUGUCUUUACUUUUCAAAAGUUGUAAAAAUGCUUUGGAAUUUCUACUUUAGCAUUUAUUUAUUUGUCUUCAGAGAUUCAGUUGCACAGCCCUUCCCACUUAGAGUUCAGCUAAAUAAUGUUCACGUUAUCCUCCUAUACGGGAGUAUUUCCUCUGCUUCUGUGGCCCAGUCUUUCUUUCUUGAACAGUUUGUAGGUAGAUAAUUAUGUUGUUCCACUACAUUUCCCUACCACCCAUUGCUAUUAAAAUCAUCCUCCAUGGCAAAAUACUCUGAUUGUUCUUUUGCUUUUAAGCUUGUUACAUUUGUCUAAAUAGUUACUCUACUCAACUCCUUUUUCUGCUAUCUUCCCAGUUUUCCUGAAUUCCCUUUCCUACAUUUACCAAAAUUACGACUCUCCGAUGGUUGUAAUUGGCAUCGUGUUCUCUGAAUUCACAAGAUGCUGCCAUAUAUACAGAUGUCUUUAAUAGACAUAUCUGACUAAUAUGUUCCCCAGACACUCAUAACUUCUGGCUUAUUUGCAGUAUCUACUUCUGUUCUGGUCCUCUCCAUACCCUAGGCUUUCCUUCACUCUGUUACUGUACACUCUCUCUAACAAAUUAAAACACCUUCUUACACAGUCUGUUCUGGCCACACUGGGAACUGGCACAAAUCUCACCACUUCAUCAGACUUGCAUAUGAAACUGGGAACAGCUGAGUCAAAGCCAUUUGCCCUGUCUUGGACCAGAGUUUUCUGUCUAACCAAAUGAUGUUAUUUCCCAGACAAUUUCCCUUACUUACUGGUAAGAAAAGCUCAUCCAUUGCCUCAUGGUAUCUAUUGUUUUGGCUGAAAUUAAGAAGCUUGCUGAGCUCGUGUUCAUCAUGACCAUGUUCCUGGGGACAACUGGGGGUGUUUGCCUCACCAGUCUCAUUCUGACUGGUGGCAAUAACCAGCUUUAGUUGCAAAGAGUCGCAUUGUCAGAGAGCUGCACUCUGCAGCCAUCGGGAAACUGGCUUCCUAAAGCAAAGCCUUGGCCAGCUCGUGUCUGAGAGCCACCCUUCCCCUCCCGGAUGACUUUUCAGCUUCUGAGCUUCCUCAAUUUGUCACAGCCAUUUGCGGGACUUCAGAACAUUUGAAAGUAAAGAAGCAGAAGCUGUGUCAGAUCAAGGGUCCUUAAGGGAUCAGAGUAGAGCAGUAAGACCAUAAGAACACAGAAAACCUUUCAAUAGGGAGAGCACUGGAACAAUCCAUUUGGGAAUGUAGCCAUCUGACUGAACAAGGAGUCAAUGAGGGACAGGGAGAGAGAACGUGCAGAUGGAGAUUCAGCACUCCUCAUCAUGCAAGAAAUAGAGGGAUUUCAAUAACAUAAGGAAGGACAGGAAAUUCAAAGCUGCCUACUGUUGAAUGAAGUACCAUUUUGAGCUAAGGGAGGCACUAUUUGACAGAACAAAAGAUAUCUCUCUAAGCCUGUCAAGUUCAAGAAUAUCUGGAAGUACUGCAAAACUGGAAUCACCCUGCAGCCAUUCUGGGAUCUGCUCUGCACGGCCAGAGAUGCCACCGACAGCCUUUAGAUAGGAGGAAGCUGAGGCUAAAGAGCAGAGAAUAUUUCUUGCCCUACAUUGUUCUUGAAGACUAUUUCUGGCACACAGGAAGGUCUCACAAAAUUACCAUCAAACUUAUUUUAGCUAAUUCCAUACGUGACUUGAAGUACUCCAGAGGUGUGUGUCAAGCCUCGGAGAACUGACAGCAAGUUUCACUCCCUGGUUAGACAUAGAAAUAAGCAUAUGACACUCUAGGGGUUGCCUGGAAGUGCUUUUUUUUAUAUAAACAGGGGGGAAAACAGCCUUCAAAUGAUACAAGAGAAUAUCAACAGGAGCGGGCCCAAAUAUCGUACUCUAAAAUGAACACUUUGAUAAUCAUAACAAUGUGGUUUGAAAGGCAUCACUUUAAAAGGUCAGCUAUAGCACCCUCUGACUGCACAUUGAAAGCAUAGCGGAUAUAUUGAGUCAUACAUAUUGUUCAUUGUCAUUUGCAUUUGGUGAAAUCCCUGUAUUUUACCCAAUUUAGUAAGCAAGCACCACCUCGGACUCCCUUGGCAAUACCUCUAAAUGCAGUUACUGUUUGUUGGACUAAAACAACAUCUUGUCCCAUCCUGCACCAGUAAAUCACUCUUUGGUCUUUUGAUCAAUGUUUGCCUUUUCAAGCCUGUGAGUCAUUUUGCAUUAAUGGAAAGAGAGGGAGUGACACACGAGAGCAAUGUGGGUAUUUUGAGCUGCACCUCUGGGAUACUUUUGUGCACGUUGUUCUGAACAAAACGACCAUCUGUAUCAGUUUGCUGACAGCCACUAGUGCAUCAAAAGAUCUCACUUCCUAUCUUUGUGGAUAAAGACUGGCUUAAUUCUACAAACACCACACAGAAUUCUCAGGCAACAUGUCAUGAAAAAGGCCUUACUGAAAUCAAGCACACUUUUUGCAACCCAGCCUUUUUAUAAAAAUUGCCCUCAGGAUCUGACCUCAUGGCCUUUUCCAUAUUUUUUGCACAUCACCUGUCACCGGUUUGGGACUGUUCAACUUCCCAAUAGUCAUGUCAGUGAUGUUUCCAACCAGAAUAUGGCGGAAGCUGCCCUCACCCUUCCGGGGGCUACACCUGAAGAGUAAGCAAAUUUUGUGGGUGUUUAAGCCUUUUUUAAUUUUCUAUGAGCAAUGUAAAAAUGACUCAUUCCUGCUUUGGCUGGAAUAUAUUAUUGGUAAACACUGGUGCAGAGCAAUCAUAUUUCUAAAUUUGUAAACAUAAACAGUGCAUAAUGCACCAAC